GAUGAACGCUGGCGGCGUGCCUAAUACAUGCAAGUCGAGCGAACAGAUGAGGGGCUUGCUCCUCUGACGUUAGCGGCGGACGGGUGAGUAACACGUGGAUAACCUACCUAUAAGACUGGGAUAACUUCGGGAAACCGGAGCUAAUACCGGAUAAUAUAUUGAACCGCAUGGUUCAAUAGUGAAAGACGGUUUUGCUGUCACUUAUAGAUGGAUCCGCGCCGCAUUAGCUAGUUGGUAAGGUAACGGCUUACCAAGGCAACGAUGCGUAGCCGACCUGAGAGGGGGAUCGGCCACACUGGAACUGAGACACGGUCCAGACUCCUACGGGAGGCAGCAGUAGGGAAUCUUCCGCAAUGGGCGAAAGCCUGACGGAGCAACGCCGCGUGAGUGAUGAAGGUCUUCGGAUCGUAAAACUCUGUUAUUAGGGAAGAACAUAUGUGUAAGUAACUGUGCACGUCUUGACGGUACCUAAUCAGAAAGCCACGGCUAACUACGUG
rnacentral:rRNA from 1 species